rnacentral:rRNA from 1 species
UGCAUAUCAAAAAAGCGGAGGAAAAGAAACUAACAAGGAUUCCCCUAGUAACUGCGAGUGAAGCGGGAAAAGCUCAAAUUUAAAAUCUGGUGGUCUUUGGCCAUCCGAGUUGUAAUCUAGAGAAGUGUUAUCCGCGCUGGACCGUGUACAAGUCCCCUGGAAUGGGGCGUCAUAGAGGGUGAGAAUCCCGUCUUUGACACGGACUACCAGGGCUUUGUGAUGCACUCUCAAAGAGUCGAGUUGUUUGGGAAUGCAGCUCAAAAUGGGUGGUAAAUUCCAUCUAAAGCUAAAUAUUGGCGAGAGACCGAUAGCGAACAAGUACCGUGAGGGAAAGAUGAAAAGAACUUUGGAAAGAGAGUUAAACAGUACGUGAAAUUGUUGAAAGGGAAACGCUUGAAGUCAGUCGCGUCUGCCAGGGAUCAACCUUACUUUUGUGAGGCGUACUUCCUGGUUGAUGGGUCAGCAUCAGUUUUGGUCGCUGGAUAAAGGUCAGAGAAAUGUGGCACCUUCGGGUGUGUUAUAGUCUUUGAUCAGAUACAGUGGCUGGGACUGAGGAACUCAGCGCCGCAAGGCUGUCUUAGGAUGCUGGCAAAAUGGCUUUAAUCGACCCGUCUUGAAACACGGACAAAGGGAGU